CUGUUCACUUGAUGAUUUUAAGGUUGCAAUCGCCAAGUAUAUUAGCUCUCCACCAAUGUCAGAUACCAACUUAAAGUUUGUCUUUGAGGAGUUACUGGAAAGGGCCAGGGA